UACGUAGGCAGCAAGCGUUGUUCGGAAUUACUGGGCGUAAAGCGUGUGUAGGCGGUUGGGUAAGUCUGGUGUGAAAUCUCCCGGCUCAACUGGGAGGGUGCGCCGGAAACUGCCUGGCUAGAGUGCGGAAGAGGAGAGUGGAAUUCCCGGUGUAGCGGUGAAAUGCGCAGAUAUCGGGAGGAACACCAGUAGCGAAGGCGGCACUCUGGGCCGGUACUGACGCUGAGGAGCGAAAGCUAGGGGAGCAAACAGG
rnacentral:rRNA from 1 species